rnacentral:rRNA from 1 species
CUUACCAUGCAAGUCGACGAUGAAGCCUAGCUUGCUGGGUGGAUUAGUGGCGAACGGGUGAGUAACACGUGAGUAACCUGCCCUUGACUCUGGGAUAAGCGUUGGAAACGACGUCUAAUACUGGAUACGACCUACGACGGCAUCGUCUGUGGGUGGAAAGAUUUUUUGGUUGGGGAUGGACUCGCGGCCUAUCAGCUUGUUGGUGAGGUAAUGGCUCACCAAGGCGACGACGGGUAGCCGGCCUGAGAGGGUGACCGGCCACACUGGGACUGAGACACGGCCCAGACUCCUACGGGAGGCAGCAGUGGGGAAUAUUGCACAAUGGGCGCAAGCCUGAUGCAGCAACGCCGCGUGGGGGAUGACGGCCUUCGGGUUGUAAACCUCUUUUAGUAGGGAAGAAGCGAAAGUGACGGUACCUGCAGAAAAAGCACCGGCUAACUACGUGCCAGCAGCCGCGGUAAUACGUAGGGUGCAAGCGUUGUCCGGAAUUAUUGGGCGUAAAGAGCUCGUAGGCGGUUUGUCGCGUCUGCUGUGAAAACUGGAGGCUCAACCUCCAGCCUGCAGUGGGUACGGGCAGACUAGAGUGCGGUAGGGGAGAUUGGAAUUCCUGGUGUAGCGGUGGAAUGCGCAGAUAUCAGGAGGAACACCGAUGGCGAAGGCAGAUCUCUGGGCCGUAACUGACGCUGAGGAGCGAAAGCGUGGGGAGCGAACAGGAUUAGAUACCCUGGUAGUCCACGCCGUAAACGUUGGGAACUAGAUGUGGGGGCCAUUCCACGGUCUCCGUGUCGCAGCUAACGCAUUAAGUUCCCCGCCUGGGGAGUACGGCCGCAAGGCUAAAACUCAAAGGAAUUGACGGGGGCCCGCACAAGCGGCGGAGCAUGCGGAUUAAUUCGAUGCAACGCGAAGAACCUUACCAAGGCUUGACAUACGCGAGAACGCUGCAGAAAUGUAGAACUCUUUGGACACUCGUGAACAGGUGGUGCAUGGUUGUCGUCAGCUCGUGUCGUGAGAUGUUGGGUUAAGUCCCGCAACGAGCGCAACCCUCGUUCUAUGUUGCCAGCACGUUAUGGUGGGAACUCAUAGGAGACUGCCGGGGUCAACUCGGAGGAAGGUGGGGAUGACGUCAAAUCAUCAUGCCCCUUAUGUCUUGGGCUUCACGCAUGCUACAAUGGCCGGUACAAAGGGCUGCGAUACCGUAAGGUGGAGCGAAUCCCAAAAAGCCGGUCUCAGUUCGGAUUGAGGUCUGCAACUCGACCUCAUGAAGUCGGAGUCGCUAGUAAUCGUGAAUCAGCAACGUCACGGUGAAUACGUUCCCGGGCCUUGUACACACCGCCCGUCAAGUCAUGAAAGUCGGUAACACCCGAAGCCGGUGGCCUAACCUUUUGGAGGAGCCGUCGAA